CGCCAUUGGAGGAGGAGGACUUGUGUCAUAUGACAUACCCGGAAAUGGAAUGACGUGAGGGUGGGAGUGACUCUGGACGCGGAACCGAAGUGAUGUCCGCCCGGAAAAAAGUAUCCCCUUCUCCUGACCACCUGUGAUGUCUUGAACGCUGCCCGACGCUCAUCCCGUCGGCCGGUGGGGAGGCUGCGUUACAUUCUCGGCAAAAUCGGGACUCGUGGAGGCGGAUGCGAGGCGUUGCGUAACCGCCGAGCCUGUCCGCGAUGCCACUGGUGUUGGACGCCGUGUGGGCGCUGUGGAGCAUCACGGCGGGGAUUUACGACUACCUCCACACCAGCGCCAUGGAGGAGAGGAUCCACACGUUGGAGAACGUGCUCUCCAUACACCAGUUUGUCAUCGCGGGGCUGUCGGCAGGCCUCAUCCUGCUUAUGACAUACAUCCUGUGGAGGAAGCACUGAUGAGGAUGAACGGGAUGACAUGCACGCGCCACCACCAUGAAAAGGCAAUGGAAUGGAGCAAAGUUGUUUCUAUGUAUGUUAAAUGUUGAUUUUCACUUCUGUAACUGACUGCUGGCCCAGGUUCCAAAGCCAAUACAGAGAUAAUAAGUGCACUGGUUGUUUUUCUGGCUCUUUUUAUGUCUCUGCACAUCCUCCAGGCAUGAUAAGAAAGCAAUGUUGCGUUAUUUUGAAGAUUUUAUCAUGGUUUAGAAAUGCAGCUUGGCUCGCAUUUGAUCAACAAGUUAGUCAAGCUGCAACCUAUUUUCUAUUUUUGUUUAUCUUUUUUUGGUUUUGUUUAACUUUGAUUUUUCUGUGGAGUGCAAUAAUGCAUUAUGUUGUGACAAACUGCUAAUAUGGAUGGCCACUUUAAAAGGGAAUACUGUAUGUACAAAUAAUAAAAGCUCAUCAGUGAUGAA